GAGCCCGCACAAGCGGUGGAGCAUGUGGUUUAAUUCGAUGCAACGCGAAAAACCUUACCUACACUUGACAUCCUCAGAAUUUAGCAGAGAUGCUUUAGUGCCUUCGGGAACUGAGUGACAGGUGCUGCAUGGCUGUCGUCAGCUCGUGUCGUGAGAUGUUGGGUUAAGUCCCGUAACGAGCGCAACCCUUAUCUUUAGUUGCCAGCACGUAAUGGUGGGGACUCUAGAGAGACUGCCAGUGAUAAACUGGAGGAAGGUGAGGACGACGUCAAGUCAUCAUGGCCCUUACGUGUAGGGCUACACACGUGCUACAAUGGUCGGUACAAAAGGUUGCCAACCCGCGAGGGGGAGCUAAUCCAAUAAAGCCGAUCGUAGUCCGGAUUGGAGUCUGCAACUCGACUCCGUG
rnacentral:rRNA from 1 species